AUACGUAGGGGGCAAGCGUUAUCCGGAAUUACUGGGUGUAAAGGGAGCGUAGGCGGCAUGGUAAGUUAGAUGUGAAAGCCCGUGGCUCAACCACGGGAUUGCAUUUAAAACUACCAAGCUAGAGUACAGGAGAGGUAAGUGGAAUUCCUAGUGUAGCGGUGAAAUGCGUAGAUAUUAGGAAGAACACCAGUGGCGAAGGCGACUUACUGGACUGAAACUGACGCUGAGGCUCGAAAGCGUGGGGAGCAAACAGGAUUAGAUACCCUGGUAGUCCACGCCGUAAACGAUGAGUGCUAGGUGUUGGGGGGGGACCCUCGGUGCCGCAGCUAACGCAUUAAGCACUCCACCUGGGGAGUACGAUCGCAAGAUUGAA
rnacentral:rRNA from 1 species